rnacentral:rRNA from 1 species
AAAACAUCGCCUCUUGCACACUAUAAAGAGGUCCCGCCUGCCCAGUGAUUAUUUAACGGCCGCGUGAUUUUAAGCGCGCAAAGGUAGCGAAAUCAUUUGUUCUUUAAAUGAGGACCAGUAUCAACGGCACCACGAGGACUUCACUGUCUCCUCUCCCUAAUCAGUGAAACUAAUCUCCCUGUGAAAAAGCAAGGAUAAUACUAUAAGACGAGAAGACCCCAUGGAGCUUUAAACUUUUUAGCAACUUUUAGUAGAUCUACCACCCUUCAAUACCCAAGCUAUGCUCAAUCGUUUUAGGUUGGGGCGACCGCGGAGUAAAACUUAACCUCCAUGACAAAAGGACAUUUCCUAAUCUAAGAAAGACAUUUCUAAGAAUCAUUAACCUGAUGUUUCAUGACCCGACUAUCGAUCAACGAACUAAGUUACCCUGGGGAUAACAGCGCAAUCCAUUUUGAAAGCCCCUAUCGACAAAUGGGUUUACGACCUCGAUGUUGGAUCAGGAUAUCCGGGUGGUGCAGCCGCUACCAAAGGUUUGUUUGUUCAACAAUUAAAAUCCU